GCCAGUGUGGUGUAGUGGUUUGAGUGUUGGACUAUGACUCUGGAGACCAGGGUUUGAGUCCCUUCUCAGUUA